UACGUAGGGUGCAAGCGUUAAUCGGAAUUACUGGGCGUAAAGCGUGCGCAGGCGGUUUUGUAAGUCUGAUGUGAAAUCCCCGGGCUCAACCUGGGAAUUGCAUUGGAGACUGCAAGGCUUGAAUCUGGCAGAGGGGGGUAGAAUUCCACGUGUAGCAGUGAAAUGCGUAGAGAUGUGGAGGAACACCGAUGGCGAAGGCAGGUCUCUGGGCAUUAACUGACGCUGAGGAGCGAAAGCAUGGGGAGCGAACAGG
rnacentral:rRNA from 1 species